UUAAAUUGAAGAGUUUGAUCAUGGCUCAGAUUGAACGCUGGCGGCAGGCCUAACACAUGCAAGUCGAACGGUAACAGGAAGCAGCUUGCUGCUUCGCUGACGAGUGGCGGACGGGUGAGUAAUGUCUGGGAAACUGCCUGAUGGAGGGGGAUAACUACUGGAAACGGUAGCUAAUACCGCAUAACGUCGCAAGACCAAAGAGGGGGACCUUCGGGCCUCUUGCCAUCGGAUGUGCCCAGAUGGGAUUAGCUAGUAGGUGGGGUAACGGCUCACCUAGGCGACGAUCCCUAGCUGGUCUGAGAGGAUGACCAGCCACACUGGAACUGAGACACGGUCCAGACUCCUACGGGAGGCAGCAGUGGGGAAUAUUGCACAAUGGGCGCAAGCCUGAUGCAGCCAUGCCGCGUGUAUGAAGAAGGCCUUCGGGUUGUAAAGUACUUUCAGCGGGGAGGAAGGCGAUAAGGUUAAUAACCUUGUCGAUUGACGUUACCCGCAGAAGAAGCACCGGCUAACUCCGUGCCAGCAGCCGCGGUAAUACGGAGGGUGCAAGCGUUAAUCGGAAUUACUGGGCGUAAAGCGCACGCAGGCGGUCUGUCAAGUCGGAUGUGAAAUCCCCGGGCUCAACCUGGGAACUGCAUUCGAAACUGGCAGGCUAGAGUCUUGUAGAGGGGGUAGAAUUCCAGGUGUAGCGGUGAAAUGCGUAGAGAUCUGGAGGAAUACCGGUGGCGAAGGCGGCCCCCUGGACAAAGACUGACGCUCAGGUGCGAAAGCGUGGGGAGCAAACAGGAUUAGAUACCCUGGUAGUCCACGCCGUAAACGAUGUCGACUUGGAGGUUGUGCCCUUGAGGCGUGGCUUCCGGAGCUAACGCGUUAAGUCGACCGCCUGGGGAGUACGGCCGCAAGGUUAAAACUCAAAUGAAUUGACGGGGGCCCGCACAAGCGGUGGAGCAUGUGGUUUAAUUCGAUGCAACGCGAAGAACCUUACCUACUCUUGACAUCCAGAGAACUUUCCAGAGAUGGAUUGGUGCCUUCGGGAACUCUGAGACAGGUGCUGCAUGGCUGUCGUCAGCUCGUGUUGUGAAAUGUUGGGUUAAGUCCCGCAACGAGCGCAACCCUUAUCCUUUGUUGCCAGCGGUCCGGCCGGGAACUCAAAGGAGACUGCCAGUGAUAAACUGGAGGAAGGUGGGGAUGACGUCAAGUCAUCAUGGCCCUUACGAGUAGGGCUACACACGUGCUACAAUGGCGCAUACAAAGAGAAGCGACCUCGCGAGAGCAAGCGGACCUCAUAAAGUGCGUCGUAGUCCGGAUUGGAGUCUGCAACUCGACUCCAUGAAGUCGGAAUCGCUAGUAAUCGUGGAUCAGAAUGCCACGGUGAAUACGUUCCCGGGCCUUGUACACACCGCCCGUCACACCAUGGGAGUGGGUUGCAAAAGAAGUAGGUAGCUUAACCUUCGGGAGGGCGCUUACCACUUUGUGAUUCAUGACUGGGGUGAAGUCGUAACAAGGUAACCGUAGGGGAACCUGCGGUUGGAUCACCUCCUUACCUUAAAGAA
rnacentral:rRNA from 1 species